CCAGUGGCCGUGCUGCUGACUCCAAGGAGGUGUGGUUGUCGGGUACUGGGUCCCAGGAAGCCCGUGGAGAGGGGCCUGGAGGCUGAGCAGCAAGGUGGAGCUGGAGGACCCACUCCCAGCUGCUCAGGAUCCUACCUGCCAGUGGGUCCUUGCGAACAGAUGUCCUGCAGGAAUGUGGGUGUCAUGAUGGGGUGGCUGCCACACCAGGGUCGUGAAGCUGUCACCUCCAUGACCUGUUCCAGCGAGGUCUGGUGUUUAGAGGGCAGGAGACACUCUUUCUCUGGUCCACUGCCUUGAAGACAAUUCACCCCAGAGCCAACAUGUUCUUCGGAGCCGAUGGAUGGCGUUUGGCCCUGCACCCGAUACUAGAUGUGGAACAAGUUCCUACGAAGAAGAGGCUGAGUUCAUAUCAGCAAGGGGUAUGUCUGCCAAGGCAGUGUGUUAGAGAUCUGAAGACAAAUUGCAAGUUGAAGAUACACUUCCCAUCUAAAAAAUUCAUUAGAAUGCUGAUUUUGCAAAUAACUCAGGAAAGAAGACACAUCCACUGCUGAACAAAGCUUCUGAAUGGAGCUGACAGAAGUGCUUAUGGAUUUAUGAAAUAUACCUGUUUGCAAACUGGAGUAUGGCCAAUUACUGCCCGUUGAGUUUGAAGGAUCUUUUCAAUUUAAGUGUGAAUACGGUAGUGCUAUUCAGGAAUGGUCUGAUUUUCAAAAAGUUCUUGAAGGGCGAGAUCCUACAGAAGGCUUAGAAAGCAAAAGGGGCAUCUCCUCGGGCUGACCUGGGAAACACCACGCCCUUGCCCUUCGACAGGGGCAACAGCUCUUGGAUAAAUCAUUCAAACAGAAGCAUUUACCUCGAGUGCACCUUCUUGAAUUCUCAGAGUUAAAUUGCUUGCUAGGGAACACAACUUACAAAUUGUUACAGAAUCUUUCUUCGCAUAUCCAUUUGUAUACAUUCUGAUUCUUGACAUUGUUAUCAAUAAAUAGGCUUUGCAUGUGGG
rnacentral:lncRNA from 1 species